UGAGGAAUAUUGGGCAAUGGGCGGAAGCCUGACCCAGCAACGCCGCGUGAAGGAAGACGGCCUUCGGGUUGUAAACUUCUUUUUUGGGGGAAGAGAGAGGACGGUACCCCAAGAAUAAGUCACGGCUAACUACGUGCCAGCAGCCGCGGUAAUACGUAGGUGACAAGCGUUAUCCGGAAUUACUGGGCGUAAAGCGCACGCAGGCGGUGCGUUAAGUCUGACGUGAAAUUUCCCGGCUUAACUGGGAGGGGUCGUUGGAGACUGGCGUGCUUGAGGCGAUGAGAGGGGUGUAGAAUUCCCGGUGUAGUGGUGGAAUGCGUAGAUAUCGGGAGGAAUACCAGUGGCGGAAGCGACACCCUGGCAUUAGCCUGACGCUCAGGUGCGAAGGCGUGGGGAGCGAACG
rnacentral:rRNA from 1 species